UUGCUGCCGCAGCCCCUCCGUGGGCCUCCUUAGGCCCUGACACUACACCCCUACUGGACAAGCAACUCGCCCUCGAGCUGCCGCAUAACGGGUGCUCAAAGAUCGAGUCUACUUGACCCAAAACCAGACACCUAGAAGACAUGCCUUUUACAUCUCGGCUUAUCUUAUUAUUCCGAAUCUGAAUUUUUUUACCCCAUAAGAUAAGGUGGACACCCUCCGCGCAUUGGACUUGCACGUGUGCAGCCACCUGGAUCCCAUGGAUGCCAUCUGUACGAAAGAGGAGCACAUGGACGGGCACCUGGAAUAGGUUGCAACAAUAACCAGCGGAGGCGCCCUCGUGGCGGCCGGUAGCGGAAUGUGGUGGCGCUAAAUAGUGCGCCCUUGUUGAUGAUGAGGUGAGUGACUUCCCUACCGCCGCUGCCGUAGAGUUGAAGUUCGUCGCCCACGGGACACGUACCAUGCUCGCACUUGGAGAUAGCGGCCCGAUGCCACUGCUGAUGGCCGUCCGACAGGGCGAGGUCGCGCCCCCCGUGUGCCGAGGUCAACCGUCACCAAGGCUGCCUCGAGCAUCUGCCGGUGCAUCUCCCGCACUCUCCGUCGUGCAAGGAAGCCACGAGCAGCAGCUUGUAUGCCCACAGCCUCCGACGUCCGGAGCCGUGCGGACAACGCCGGCUGGUGCUGCUCAUGUUGCACUGCUGCCUUGAUUUGCAACAACCCUUGCUCAACCUUCUAGAGCGUGGCUUGCAUCUUUGCGAGAUCAGCCCUUAUGUUGGUCCACAAAUCCCCCAUCGAUGGAUCUGGUGAUUGCUGAGCCGUGGCUGCCCCUAGUGGCGUCGCCCAUGGGGACGGAGACGUUGUCAACGAAGAUGAUGUGAUGAAAUUUGGCGUUGUCCCUGGGGAUGGGCACGCCGACGUCCAGGAUGUGGUGACAAAAUUGACAGGCGAUGUUGCCCAUGGAGACAGGGACGCCGGUUGCCAGGAUGGCGUGACGAAGGUGGCAUGCGGCGCAACCCAUGGAGAUGGGGACGUCGGUUGCCAGGACGGCGUGACGAAGGUGACAUGCGGCGCUGUCCAUGGAGAUGGGGACGCCGGUUGCCAUGAUGACGCCGCGAAAUUGGCAGCAGAAGCCAUGGGAUCAGGUCGAAACCCAAGAUAGCCGAUACCAGAUGUUAUGGUCGCUAGAUCGGUGAGGGAUUAGAGAGGGGUAUCGAUGGGCAGGAACGUCGGCCGGGUGCCUCUACCCACGACCGAGCAAGAGGAGGGUUUCUUCCUUUAAUUCUUGCCUGCUUUAUUUCUCAUCCAUUGAUUACAUAAAUAGGCCGGUUGGCCGCCCCUAUCUAGCUAGAGAUCCUUAUCUCCUUAAAACUCUCCUAAAAACUCUCAACAAACUACUAACCGAUAACCUUCCUAGAUAAUCUCAACUAAUCUCCUAAAUAAUCUCAACUAAUCUUCUAAUCUUAUCUCUAACUAUCCUUAUCUAAUCCCCAUUGGAGGGCCCAUAGCUAUUGCUGCCGCAGCCCCUUCGUGGGCCUCUUUAGGCCCUGACACUUCAUCACCCCUGGCUUUGGGUUCCUCGGCCUCCUUGACCUUCUUCCGUGCACUCGGUACCUCGAAACUCUUCUUGCCUCUAUCCUUGGCUUGACCAGUUGUCUCCAAGAUAUGCACACCAAGUCUCACAUAAGCAAUCUUCUCCUUCACUUGUGAAGUCCACACCCAUAAUCAACUCAGCCUUUGGACCAUCACUCUUGAACACUUGUGUUGAACUUUACAAGUUUUACACUAAGCACCUGUCCAACGCUUAACACACUUGUCAGUCCUUUUAUUGGGUUGUCAUCCAAACCACCAAAACCCACAAUAGAGCUUUCAGUUGGACGGGUGGAGGAAGAGGCACAUGCAUCCAGGGAAGUACUUGUAUGUCCUGCGUCGUUUCGUACCACAAGCAGAGGUGCGUGCAUCCAUGGAAGUUCGUCCCAUGGCCUGCGGACAGUGGACACGAGUGUCUAGACGCGACACCUACGUCAGAAUGUCCGGGCACGACGCCUACGUCCGCACGUCCGGGCGCGGGGAGUUCUUCUGAUUAUUUAUGUAUGGCAAAUACUCAUUAUGAAAAUUUAAGGGCAUCUAGGCACUAUGCAGCGGAUCAUGAAUAAAAAAGUAGUCCCUAAUCUAUAGCUAAUAAUAAAGAGACAAAAUUUCAGCCUAUUUUUUCGUCCAUCCAUUUUUAGGUUCGUCUCUCUCUAACUACCGGACAAUAGAGACUUUCUUUGUCAAGACUUCAUCUAGACCAAUAUGGAGUAGGAAUCCUAAUCUAAAUAGGUUCCUCAGAUCAUGAGUACUCUAAAUAGAACCCUUAUAUAAUAAUCAAAUAGAAAAGGUAAGAGUCGUUCUGCUAUUUAUUUGCUCGUCUUUCUUUAUUUAGUUCUCUAUCAAGAGGGAGACAAAAAAAUCAUGUCCAUGUGUUCCUUAUUUUAUAUUCUCCGUCCGUUUACAAAGCAAGCAAACUCCCAACUUCUAUCUCCUUUUUGAUUCAAGCUUGUAGAGUCCAAAUAUUUCACGGAAACGUGGUGGCAAUCUUUCUAAAUAUUUUUGUACAAAUAUUAUGUAGUAGUAACAAGACCGGACUCGAACUCCGGGUGCAGAACGACAGAGAUAUAUGGUAUAUAGCCUGAGGCACCAUACAUAUAUGUAUAAUAAUGAAUAAAUACAGAUAUAUCACGCCAUACCAUUAUUGUUAUUUUUUAGUUUGAUUUGAUUGAUUGAAGCUCAUCAGUAGAUUUGGAUGCAAUGAACCGCGUUGUGGUGUACUGGUAUGACCUCGUGACAUUGAAAAGGCGGCGGGCACAAGGACGACCAUGACCAAUGCGGCAUCGUGGCGCACAUGCCAGACAACAAGCGUGGCAUGAGUCGGACGUAGGUGGCUAGACCAAGGUCAUCACGGGAGUCUCUGGGGCACUCGAUCUGGUUCACUUUGACGACAGACGACGCUGGCAAUAGGCUGUCAUGUCAAGGCCAUCGGAGUAGCUCCAAUAUGACAUGGGGCUCGUUUUGGGCAACUUUAGGUACACUAUACCCUAUGACUCCGCAGGCUCACCGAGCUGUCUCUUCAUGUGGACGUGGUGUUUGACAACGGUGCACAAACACUCAUCAGGCAACGCACAAAUUGGUAGGAGCCCAAGCAAAUAAGGAUGACAAUUAAAAGCACAACAUGCGGAACCGCAAGAAGACGAACCAUGUCUUGUAGUCGAGACAGCGUUGCCGGCCACUUCCUGUCAGUCUCCUAGGCGUCCUAAUUGGUAGACUGUGUGUGUAUGGGCCGGCACCACUAUUGGGCUGUCGACCCAUUAGGGUUAGGAUUGUGAGUCUAUAUAUUGUACCCCAUCUCCUAUCAAUAUAUCAAGCACUUUCAUAAUUCUACAUGGUAUCAGAGGAUUAGGGUUCCCACAACCCAACUCCCACAGCCGCCACCUGCCAACCCCCACAGCCGCCUGCCUAGGUCUAGCCGCUGCCCCGGGAGGCUCAUCCUUCCCUCCUGGGGCGGCUCCCUUCCCAGCCGCCGGCCACCCCUUUGCCCUGACCGUCCCAAUUCGCUGCUCCCUCCCCUCGCCGGCCGGCCGCCGGCCUCCCCGGCCUAGGGGACGCCACGCCCGACGGACGGGCCCGCCUCCACUGGAUUCGCCCAGUCACUUGUCUCCGUGGUUGGAUCCGCCCGAGACGUCGACCCCUUCCUCUCCGGCGCGCCCGCUUGGCUCGCCCCUCUCACUCUGCGCCACCGGCGGCCGAUCGCGGUCCUCCCUCCUAGCGCCGCUGGCCGCCCUUUGGCCGGAUCGAUCUGCCGUCCCUUUGGGCUGCCGACCCAUUAGGGAUAGGGAUGUGAGUCUAUAUAUUGUACCCCAUCUCCUAUCAAUAUAUCAAGCACUUCCAUAAUUCUACACUGAUGGAUUAAAAGCUAUUGGAACUGGAAGCCAAAUCGUAUCUAAGGCACCGUCUCUAGAGCAGACUGCAUACAUCACCAGCGUGCUUGUGCAUUGGGUCACCUCUAUGCAUAUGGGGACCAACAAGGCAGACACUUAUCUAAGCCACGUGUGCACCACAUAGUUCCAGCCCAGGCUGCGUGAAGACAUGCGUGCGUGUUGCCAUGACUACUCCCGCAUGAACGUUGUGCCGUGGUGCAAUGUCGGCAUAGUUUCGUACUGUGGCCAUCACGCUAUCGGCCAGGGCUGCCUCGCCAUGGUCAGUAACACCAUGCGCACGUGGUGUCGUGGUCGCAAGUUCUAGCCACCUCGCUGUGGUCGUAUCUCGGAUGUGGCUAGACCGUUAAGUUUAAUUCCGCAAUUAUUUUGGUCAGCCAACGUGAUUAAGUUUUAGAAAAGACUAUUCACCCCAUCUUGUCCACCAUAUAGACCCUACGUCAGCAACCAGUGACACCCAUAAGUAAUGGUUAUAACUAGUGCUUCAUAUAUAUUGUAUGCAUCUCGUUCGUUUUUUAUUAAUCAUAUCCUAGAAAUGAUGUUCGCUCCUAGGAGGAUCGGAUCAAAAGUUGUUGCGGCAUUAAUCCAUGAUCGGAAUGCUCGACACCAAUAUUGGGAACCAUCCACAAGUGUGUCAAGUAUUGCUCACCAAUUUCUCAAAUAUAAUUGCGCCUAAAAAUAAAGGACUAAUAAAUACUUCACCGGACAUACAUCACUUGUCAACACUAGGCAUCUCAUUGUUUAUUAUUCGAUAUAUUGAGUAGGACACUACUCAAUAUAGAUUCAACACAGACACUUAAAUGUAUGAAAUCAACCAUGAAAGCAAGAUCAGACAUCACACUCGCAUUAUUCAAUUGAUGCUUGCCUUUCAUAUAUCAAGGCAUAAAAGGUAUAAAUAUAGCCUUUGCUAGUAGGCAAUCUAGCUUACUAGCAAAAGCUACCUUUAUACCAUUUUAUGCCUUGAUAUAUGGAGUUUCUUCAACGGUUUCCUCAUUAGUGUUUGGGUCCAGGCCAAAGUAGAUGACAACACGUAUAGCUCCGGCUGCGAGUUCGUCUGAAGGCCUCGGGCUCUCAUUCAAAUCCACAUCUACUGAAUCAAAGAAUGUUACAUCUGGCCGCUCUUGUUCUAUUACUGCAAUUGCAUCAUUAAUUUCCUUGCCAAUCAACUCGGGCCAACUGGUCUUGUUCUGCGUAGCCAUGAUCACGUACUGUCCUUAGCUUCUCUCUCUUUUGAAACUGUUAUAAUACCAAUAAGAAUCAAUAAUUGAGCAACAUUAGUGUAACGAAUAGAAACAUAAUAUGUUGUUUUGUGCUAAUGCUAUCAUACUUUCAUAGUAAGCAUAUGUCUUAAUCGAAUGCACUACAUAACUAUCGGGCUGCUAACAGUCUAUUAAAAUUUUAAAAAGAUACUCUUUUUUUCAAAGCAAUUACUAACAAAGAAUACAUGAUUACCUGAAGGGAAGAACACAGUAGCCUCUGGCGAUGAUACGUGCUCUAUGUAUAGGUGUGUAUAUAUACACGACGACAUUUGUAUUGUUGGUUGGAUGUUGUCGGUGAAAACAAUGCAAAUAUUUUUUCCACCAUUAAUUAGGAAAACACGAUCAUAUUGCCCUUUUGCUGCCAAUAACUGUAGUUCUCGACCAUAACAAUGCAGGCUUUGACUUAGUAAACAUCAUCAUAUCUCCUUGUUCACAGGGGGGCAGCUGAAUGCCCAUACUGUACACAGCCCGUGACUCAAACAAUAUACGUGUAAUCCAAAUGAAACAUAAAAAAGCCCUAGAAAUAGUGCUACCCACUAUGAUUAAUGUCAUUGUUGUCUAGCUAAAAUUUUUGACCCCACAUGCAUCGUUUCCUAACCUGACUCAAAUCUAACACAUGCCAGACUUUCGUGGUUUCUCAUGUUUUGUUAUUUUUGUUUUUUCAUAUAUUUAAAUGCCUCACAUGGCCAUGCACUGGAACCAGAUUCUUAGCUAUGGGCUGGCAUGAUGCAUCUGUCAACAAAAUCUCCAGUUUUCCACGCUGUUGAAUCGACAGGUACAGUAGACAAAUACAGAAAAGGGCUGGCCUGGUUAAAAAACGGCUCAGGUUAGCAAGCAGCCUGGCCUGCUUCACGUUUGAGAGAAGGUGGCUUCGAACGAGACCUGAUCGUUUCCUUCGUCCUGGGGCCUGGGCGACUUGGCUGGCUCUUGCUCAAUGGGAGUUGACAGGACAGAUCACGGCCAGCCAGUUAGGUCGCUGUGACGAGCUGUACAAGAGGAGUGUUCCGCGAUGAUGCGUCUCAAGCAGAUUUAUAUCGGAGGAGAUGAACCGCGUUGGCUCUUCUCUCGGUUCUGAAAGGUGGUCUAAGUGAAUAAUUUUUUUUCUUUAUCAAACCAGUUUUGGCUUAUUGUGUUUCUGAACAUAAUUUGCUUGGUUCAUUUGGUUACUGGUAGUUAUACCAAUGCAGAAUAACAAAGUUUUAUGGUGACUAACAAAAACAAAGGAUGCCCAACAUAUACUUUCUUGUAGAUAGGAAUAGUAGAUAAUCUCCGGUAUAUUUGGUAGUGGUUUAAACUAAUGUUUGUUGUUGUCUUGUCUAAUGUUCUGCUUGUAACUGUCUGUCAAGAACAUGACUUGACCUUAUGAAACAUAUUUGACUGGGUAUCUUUAGGGCUGAUAUUGUUGUUGAUAGCAUUAUCUAAUGUCAUGCUUGUAACUUUCUGUCAAGAACAUGACUUGACCUUAUGAAACAUAUUUGACUGGGUAUCUUUAGGGCUGAGAUUGUUGUUGAUAGCAUUAUAGCAAGUACGCUAGAUGUUACCUCAUUGAUUUUAAGUAAUGUCCUUAGAUAGUGAUUCUCGAUGCACCAUAUCUUUUCUCAACUCGAUCAAUCCUUGACAUUGCAAGUCUUCUUCACCCUGGCUUUGGGUUCCUCGGCCUCCUUGACCUUCCGUGCACUCGGUACCUCGAAGCUCUUCUUGCCUCCAGCCUUGGCUUGACCAGUUGUCUCCAAGAUAUGCACACCAAGUCUCACAUAAGCAAUCUUCUCCUUCACUUGUGGUGUCCACACCCUUAAUCAACUCAGCCUUUGGAACAUCACUCAUGAACACUUGAGUUGAACUUUACAAGUUUUACACAAAGCACCCGUCCAACACUUAACACACCUGUCAGUCCUUUAUUUGGGUUGUCAUUCAAACCACCCAAACCCACAAGAGAGCUUUCAGGUGGGCGGGUGGAGGAAGAGGCACAUGCAUCUAGGGAAGUACUUCAAUGUCUUGUGUUGUUUCGUGCCACAUGCAGAGGUGCGUGCAUCCACAGAAGUUCGUCCUGUGGCCUGCGGACAGUGGACGCGAGUGACCGGACGCGACGCCUAUGUCCAGUCGUCCAGGCACGACGCCUACGUCAGCACGUCCGGGCGCGAGGAGUUCUGAUUAUUUAUGUAUGGCAAAUACUCAUUAUGAAAAUAUAAAGGCAUCUAGGCACUAUGCAGCAGAUCAUGAAUAAAAAAGUAGUCCCUAAUAUAUAGCUAAUAAUAAAGAGGCAAAAAUUCAGCCUAUUUUUUGUCUAUCCAUUUUUUAGGCCCGUCUCUCUCUAACUACCAGACAAUAGAGACUUUCUUUGUCCAGACUUCAUCUAGACCAAUAUGGAGUAUGAAUCCUAAUCUAAACAGGUUCCUCAGAUCAUGAGUACUCUAAAAUUGAACCCAUAUAUAAUAAUCAAAUAGAAAAGGUAAGAGUCGUUCUGCUAUUUAUUUUGCUCGACUUUCUUUAUUUAGUUCUCUAUCAAGAGGGAGACAAAAAAAUCAUGUCCAUGUGUUCCUUAUUUUAUAUUCUCCGUCCGUUUACAAAGCAAGCGAACUCCCAAUUUUUAUCUCCUUUUUUAUUCAAGCUUGUAGAGUUCAAAUAUUUUACAGAAACGUGAUGGCAAUCUUUCUAAAUAUUUUUGUACAAAUAUUAUGUAGUAGUAACAUGUUCGGGCUUGAACUCCGGGUGAAGAACGACAGAGAUAUAUGGUAUAUAGCCUGAGACACCAUACAUACAUGUAUAUAAUGAAUAAAUACAUAUAUAUUACGCCGUACCAUUAUUGUUAUUCUUUAGUUUGAUUUGAUUGAGUGAAGCUCUUCAGUAGAUUCAGAUGCAAUGAACUGCGGUGUGGUGUACUGGUAUGACCUCGUGACAUUGAAAAGGCGGCGGGCACGAGGACGACCAUGACCAACACAGCAUCGUGGUGCACAUGCUAGACAACAAGCGUGGCAUGAGUCGGACGUAGGUGGCUAGACCGAGGUCGUCACGGGAGUCUCUAGGCACUUGACCUGGUUCGCUUUGACGACAGACGACGUUGGCAAUAAGUUGUCAUGUCAAGGCCAUCGGAGUAGCUCCAAUAUGACAGGAUGUUCGUUUUGGGCAACUUUAGGUGCACUCUACCCUAUGACUCCGCAAUUUCUAGCCACCUCGCCGUGGUCGUAUCUCGGAUGUGGCUAGACCUUUAAGUUUAAUUCCGCAAUUAUUUCGGUCAGCCAACGUUAAGUUUUAGAAAAGACUAUUCGCCCCCUCUAGUCCACCAUAUAGACCCUACAGCAGCGACCGAUGACACCCAUAAGUAAUGGUUAUAACUAGUGCUUCAUAUAUAUUGUAUGCAUCUCGUUCAUUUUUUAUUAAUCAUAUCCUAGAAAUGAUGUUCGUACCUAGGACGAUCGGAUCAAAAGUUGCUGCGGCAUUAAUCCAUGAUCGGAAUGCUCGACACCAAUAUUGGGAACCAUCCACAAGUGUGUCAAGUAUUGCUCACCAAUUUCUAAAAUAUAAUUGCGCCUAAAAAUAAAGGACUAAUAAAUACAUCACCGAACAUACAUCACUCGUCAACACAAGACAUCUCAUUGUUUAUUAUUCAAUAUAUUGAGUAGGACACUAUAUAUAGAUUCAACACAUACACUUAAAUGUAUGAAAUCAACCAUGAAAGCAAGAUCAGACAUCACACUCGCAUUAUUCAAUUGAUGCUUGCCUUUCAUAUAUCAAGGCAUAAAAAGGUAUAAAGGUAGCCUUUGCUAGUAGGCAAUCUAGCCUAUUAGCAAAGGGUCUUUAUACCUUUUUAUGCCUUGAUAUAUGGAGUUUCUUCAACGAUUUCCUCAUUAGUGUUUGGGUCCACGCUGAAGUAGAUGACAACACGUAUAGUUCCGGGUGCGAGUUGGUCUGAAGGCCUCGGGGUCUCGUUCAAAUCCACAUCUAGUGACUCAAAGAAUGUUACAUCUGGCCGCUCUUGUUCUAUUACUUCAAUUGCAUCAUUAAUCUCCUUGCCAAUCAACUCGGGCCAACUGGUCUUGUCCUGCGUAGCCAUGAUCACGUACUAUCCUUAGCUUUUCUCUCUUUUGAAACUGUUAUAAUAUCAAUAAGAAUCAAUAAUCGAGCAACGUCAGUGUAAUGAAUAGAAACAUAAUAUGUUGUUUUGUGCUAAUGCUAUCAUACUUUCAUAGUAAGCAUGUCUUAAUCGAAUGCACUACAUAACUACCGAGCUGCAAACAGUCUAUUAAAAUGCUAAAAAGAUACUUUUUUCAAAGCAAUUACUAAUAAAGAAAUACAUGAUAACCUGUGUGGAAGAAGAACACGGUAGCCUUUGGUGAUGAUAAGUGCUCUAUGUAUAGGUGUGUAUAUAUACAUGAUGACAUUUGUAUUGUUGCUUGGAUGCUGUCGGUGAAAACAAUGCAAAUAUUUUGUCCACUAUUAAUUAGGAAACAUGAUCAUAUUGCCCUUUUGCUACCAAUAACUGUAGUUAUCUACCAUAACAAUGCAUGCUUUGACUUAGUAAACAUCAUCAUAUCUCCUUGUUCACAGGGGGACAGCUGAAUGUACAUACUGUACACAGCCCGUGACUCAAACAAUAUACGUGUAAUCCAAACGAAACAUAAAAAAGCCCUAGAAAUAGUGGCAACCCGCUAAUUCAUGUCGUUGUUGUCCAGCUAAAAUUUUUGACCCCACAUGCAUCGUUUUCUAACCUCACUCAAAUCCAACAGAUGCCAGACUUUUGUGGUUUCUCAUGUUUUGUUAUUUUUAUUUUUUUUCAUAUAUUUAAAUGCCUCACUAGAUUCUUAGCUAAGGGCUGGCAUGAUGCAUCUGUCAACAAGAUCACCAGUUUUCCACGCUGUUGAAUCGACAGGUAUAGCAGACAAACACAAUUUUUAUGUUGAACUAUUUUUUUUAUAGAAAUUUAUGUUCACCUGAUAAUCAUCAGAAUAUCCUGAAAUCAAACUACUCACGCAAGAAAAAAAAUUCUGGAAAGUAAUUGCAUAUAGGCCCCACAUUUUGAUUAUAUCAUCAUGCAAUCAGCUUAUCCGCAUGAUAUGCAGGCAGAUUAAUUCAAGUUAUAGUAACUUGGACCUCACGUGAAACGGUUAAUAAGCUUAGAGAGUUGGAUUUGCAUUUUUGGAAAUUUGGGAACUUGGAUCGAACCAAGUUCAUAAACUUUUAUUCACAUAAGGUACAAAAGCACCAAACUAUAUGGUGUAGAAACAAUCCACAUGAAAUGUCAUGAAGUGUCUGUAGCAUAACACACCUCUGUAUAUUAAUAAAUCUGAAAGCUGACUCAUUGACGGAUGAUACAUCACUGGCCAAGAACAUGGCACACUACAGCCAGUGCACUCGUACGAAGAGAGGAAAAGCAGCAUGCUAGGCUAGCAAUAUGUGCUGGCACAUCUUCUAUUUUUUUUAUAACAAUAGGGAACAGACUGAAAAAUCAGAGGCCGCAGGCAUUACAGAAUGUAGCAUUCGAAAAUCAGUAUAAUAUGCAAUAGCAGGUAGUCAACGAAGAGCAUCCCGUUUGAAUGUAUCUUCUGAAAAAAUGGAUAUAAUAAAGAAGUAGGGGAGAGGAGAAAAGGGAUAGAAAAUUGAAAAAAAUGAUGUAGCUAGGAAAUCUAGAUUAGUAGCAGCUGCUAGUUAAGACGUCUACAAAUUCCUAUAUCUCGGAGCAUCAAGCCUGAAUUCUCCACGGAAGCACAAACCAUCUGCUUCGACUUGCUCCUUGUGCUCAGAUAGUCAGUGGGAGCCAAAAGUACACACACGCACAAACGCCCUUCUCCUAUCUGUGCAUCUGCGGCCUUUCCGUGUAGACGAAAAUUUGCUGUCACCGUACAUUGGCCAGCCCAGCUAAUCCAUGUAGAACUCGAAUUGAACCCCAUUAGAAGCAGAUUGAAAAGGAUCUGCGAAGCGGACACACACAGCAACAACCUAUCGCUAAAGGUGACGGAAGUGCAAGGGGAGGUGAGGGGGAACAUGUCGCUGGCACACGAAGAACUGGAGCAUCCAUACUGCAAUAACAGUAGAAGGUAUAGCGGCAGAAGGUAUACCGACAGCAGCACGUAUACCUUCUAUAGAUGUAGCGACCCAUGCACUAUUAAAUGGGCCGUGCUUCGGGUCGGCCUGCCAGGAACAAUCCAUUUGGCCAUCUAUAGACGUCAAUGUAAGGAGAGUUCCAUCUCUCUUUUGGAAAUAUCUUUCACUGCUCCAUAGACUCAAACGGAAGAGUCUUGUUGGUAUCUUGAUCCGAGGAUCCACCAACCAGUGAAAUAAUGUUGUGUGCCCUGGCCCAGAUGAGUGAUGCAAGGUGAUACAAGUUGUUUAUCCUGGUUCGGGCGAGAGAAAGCCCUACUUCCAGCAGAGGGAGGACGAGACUUAUAUUACUUGCACCUAAGUGCUUGCAGUAGGGAGUACAAACAGGUCGAGAGAGGGGAGGAUCCCAAGUCCCUGGGGUUGAUUGAGGCAAGUGUCAAUAUCGCAGUGGAGGUGAAAACCGUGAAGUGUUCGCCCGCCUCCCUGAAGCCACAGACUCCUCUAUUUAUAGCCUCAAGGAGGGCUGCCAUGAGUGCCGGGGUUGGCCGGGUAUGGUGAGGAGGCGAGGUUGAGCACCUGUAGACGGUAUGGCCUGUGGUAUGAGGCUUGUACUUGCUGUUGACUUAUGCCUGGUGGAGACGUCUGGUUCCUGUAUUUGCAUCUUUGACUACGCAGAGAGUCGAGGCUAGGGCCGAGGGCUCGGUCACAUACCCGAGCCUACCUGAUGGGGAAGUUGCACAUGUCGUAGUGGUUGGUGUAGUGCUGAGCAUGGCAAAAAGCCCAUGGGUAAUAUGUCAGCUCCCCCGUUUUCGGUGACGUCGGGCGCCCUUUUGUUGAUAAUAACGAGGUCGAUGCCGUGCUCGGGCGAGGCGAAAGUCUGCCCGAGGCCGUGACUGAGCCCGCACCGGGAUUCGUAGACGUGCGCGACACAGUUGAAGGAGUGGUCUCCUGCGGUAUUCGCGGGGAGUAAGUAGCCGAGGCUGGGCUCGGGCGAGGUGUACUUUCCUCUCGAGGUCCAGUCCCGCGCUUUGUCGAAUGCGUGUAUGCGUGUCCCAUCAGUAGUUGGUAGGUGACGUGGGGGAACAACAGCCGUUGUACUUAGGCAUACAUCAUCGUAGUUGGUGAAAGCCGACGAGACCGCGGUCUUGUCGCUCCUGUUCGCCUGCAGCGCUGCGUGGGGUAGGUAUGCUCAUUAAAUGCUCAUGUCCCCUGUGACCUUCGGCUGAGACCUGCCUCGGGGAUGCCUUCCUUGCUCGAGACGGGCUCGGGCGAGGCGGAGACGGUAGUUAUGGGGAGAGAGGACCUCGGCUGGGACGAGGAUUCUACUGAGUAUGUACCUUGUCCGAGGGCAGGUCCGGGCGAGGCAAAGUUAUGGGUGACCGCCGAGAGGGGCCUUGGGCGAAUCGUGGUUUAUACCUUAUUGUCCUCGGGAAUGUGCCUGGUGGCAACCUCGGGGUUAAGCACGUUUAGGGAUGUAAUCCAGGUACCUCUAAUUACGAUACCCGACAAGUCAUCUCUUGAGUUGGAUCUUUCGGCUAGUCUUGAGUCUUGACUUAGACCAGUGACUACACUGGGCAUGAAAGAAGAGGAGAGAAGAACGAUGCAGUCCUUAAAUACCCUAAUUUCGUCAUCAAAUCAAAUUUAAAUUAAGACCUGUUGGAUCCACUUGACUAAAUUUUAGCCCUAUCACAUUAAAUGUUUAAUACUAGUCAGGAGUAUUAAAUAUAAUCUAAUUAUAAAACUAAUUACAUAGGUAAUGACUAAACAGUACAACCAGUCUAUAGAGCCUAAUUAUGUUAUGAUUUACUCAUGUGAUGCUACAUUGAACAUUUGCUAAUUAUAGAUUAACUAGCCAGUUGCACGUGCUUUGCUACGGUUGUUAUAUAUCAUAUAAAUAAGUAUUGAGAUAUUUAUUCAAAUAUAAUUAUUGUUUGUUUCUAAACACUAAGGUACGUGUGGUCUUGUGGUUAGCCCCACAUUUCUAGAGUAGGGGGUGUAUGUUUGAGUGCUCGCUCUGCACUAUUUUUUGUGCGGUGUGGUAGCUGUAUGGGCGGGGUCAGGUGCUAGACAGGCAGGUGGCGGCGCGGGCGCUGGGGGUCCACAUUGCACUAGCUGAGAGAGCGCUGCACGGGCGCGGGCGUGAGGCCCACAGGGCACGACGCAGAGGCGGGGUGAAGCACCAGGUGCCCACAUUAGGUUCUUAAUAGAGUAAUAGGUAUGUGCCCGUAUGUUGUCCCAGGAGUUAAAAAUAGUAUAAAACAUAGAUAUAAAACGAUAAACAUCACUAUGAUAUACAAAACCCGCGUAACGGCUCGCCUGAGGUCAACCCCGGACAAGCAGCGCAUUUUCGACUCUCUCGAGGGCGCCUCAGGCGACUGUCCGGUGAGGCCCAGACUGGCCCAAGCUUGCUUUUUUCUGUUUCUUCUCAACUUGACUUCGACUCUUGGGAGGAUCUUCCUGUGACUUAGACAAACACAUUUAGAGUAUAAUUCAAUUGACUGAGUCCCAGAAGAUUACCUCUUUUCAUAUAUUCUCCCAGCUUUUAUGUUCGAGGUAGAUGUUGGACUCCAAAACUCCAAGUCUCCAAGACUUGAUCCAGAUUGUUAUCUAUGAGCUCCAACACCCUGCAUAGGUCACACAGAACAUAUCCAAACACAAGAACAACCCAAACUCAUGGUCAAAGUAAACUUAGCUCUUUUGAGUUGCUUCCAGGUUCUCGCUUUGACACUACUUCUAGUGACCUUGCUUUAUGACCUGAGCUUGAUCUUGAGCCUUAUGACUUACACCACAUAACCAUAGAUGUUACAUCAUUGGUUGUAAGUCAUGUCCUUAGAUAGUGAUUCUCGAUGCACCAUAUCUUUUCUCAACUCGAUCAAUUCUUGACUUGCAAGUCUUCUUGUUAUGGUCGCUAGAUCGGUGAGGGAUUAGAGAGGGGUAUCGAUGGGCAGGAACGUCGGUCGGGGGCCUCUUCCCACAGCCGAGCAAGAGGAGGGUUUCUCCCUUCUAAUUCUUGCCUGCUUUAUUUCUCAUCCAUUGAUUACAUAAAUAGGCCGGUUGGCCGCCCCUAUCUAACUAGAGAUCCUUAUCUCCUUAAAACUCUCCUAAAAACUCUCAACAAACUACUAACUGAUAACCUUCCUAGAUAAUCUCAACUAAUCUCCUAAAUAAUCUGAACUAAUCUUCUAAUCUUAUCUCUAACUAUCCUUAUCUAAUCCCCCUUGGAGGGCCCAUGGCUGUUGCUGCCGCAGCCCCUCCGUGGGCCUCCUUAGGCCCUGACACUACACCCCUACUGGACAAGCAACUCGCCCUCGAGCUGCCGCAUAACGGGUGCUCAAAGAUCGAGUCUACUUGACCCAAAACCAGACACCUAGAAGACAUGCCUUUUACAUCUCGGCUUAUCUUAUUAUUCCGAAUCUGAAUUUUUUUACCCCAUAAGAUAAGGUGGACACCCUCCGCGCAUUGGACUUGCACGUGUGCAGCCACCUGGAUCCCAUGGAUGCCAUCUGUACGAAAGAGGAGCACAUGGACGGGCACCUGGAAUAGGUUGCAACAAUAACCAGCGGAGGCGCCCUCGUGGCGGCCGGUAGCGGAAUGUGGUGGCGCUAAAUAGUGCGCCCUUGUUGAUGAUGAGGUGAGUGACUUCCCUACCGCCGCUGCCGUAGAGUUGAAGUUCGUCGCCCACGGGACACGUACCAUGCUCGCACUUGGAGAUAGCGGCCCGAUGCCACUGCUGAUGGCCGUCCGACAGGGCGAGGUCGCGCCCCCCGUGUGCCGAGGUCAACCGUCACCAAGGCUGCCUCGAGCAUCUGCCGGUGCAUCUCCCGCACUCUCCGUCGUGCAAGGAAGCCACGAGCAGCAGCUUGUAUGCCCACAGCCUCCGACGUCUGGAGCCGUGCGGACAACGCCAGCUGGUGCUGCUCAUGUUGCACUGCUGCCUUGAUUUGCAACAACCCUUGCUCAACCUUCUAGAGCGUGGCUUGCAUCUUUGCGAGAUCAGCCCUUAUGUUGGUCCACAAAUCCCCCAUCGAUGGAUCUGGUGAUUGCUGAGCCGUGGCUGCCCCUAGUGGCGUCGCCCAUGGGGACGGAGACGUUGUCAACGAAGAUGAUGUGAUGAAAUUUGGCGUUGUCCCUGGGGAUGGGCACGCCGACGUCCAGGAUGUGGUGACAAAAUUGACAGGCGAUGUUGCCCAUGGAGACAGGGACGCCGGUUGCCAGGAUGGCGUGACGAAGGUGGCAUGCGGCGCAACCCAUGGAGAUGGGGACGUCGGUUGCCAGGACGGCGUGACGAAGGUGACAUGCGGCGCUGUCCAUGGAGAUGGGGACGCCGGUUGCCAUGAUGACGCCGCGAAAUUGGCAGCAGAAGCCAUGGGAUCAGGUCGAAACCCAAGAUAGCCGAUACCAGAUGUUAUGGUCGCUAGAUCGGUGAGGGAUUAGAGAGGGGUAUCGAUGGGCAGGAACGUCGGCCGGGUGCCUCUACCCACGACCGAGCAAGAGGAGGGUUUCUUCCUUUAAUUCUUGCCUGCUUUAUUUCUCAUCCAUUGAUUACAUAAAUAGGCCGGUUGGCCGCCCCUAUCUAGCUAGAGAUCCUUAUCUCCUUAAAACUCUCCUAAAAACUCUCAACAAACUACUAACCGAUAACCUUCCUAGAUAAUCUCAACUAAUCUCCUAAAUAAUCUCAACUAAUCUUCUAAUCUUAUCUCUAACUAUCCUUAUCUAAUCCCCAUUGGAGGGCCCAUAGCUAUUGCUGCCGCAGCCCCUUCGUGGGCCUCUUUAGGCCCUGACACUUCAUCACCCCUGGCUUUGGGUUCCUCGGCCUCCUUGACCUUCUUCCGUGCACUCGGUACCUCGAAACUCUUCUUGCCUCUAUCCUUAGCUUGACCAGUUGUCUCCAAGAUAUGCACACCAAGUCUCACAUAAGCAAUCUUCUCCUUCACUUGUGAAGUCCACACCCAUAAUCAACUCAGCCUUUGGACCAUCACUCUUGAACACUUGUGUUGAACUUUACAAGUUUUACACUAAGCACCUGUCCAACGCUUAACACACUUGUCAGUCCUUUUAUUGGGUUGUCAUCCAAACCACCAAAACCCACAAUAGAGCUUUCAGUUGGACGGGUGGAGGAAGAGGCACAUGCAUCCAGGGAAGUACUUGUAUGUCCUGCGUCGUUUCGUACCACAAGCAGAGGUGCGUGCAUCCAUGGAAGUUCGUCCCAUGGCCUGCGGACAGUGGACACGAGUGUCUAGACGCGACACCUACGUCAGAAUGUCCGGGCACGACGCCUACGUCCGCACGUCCGGGCGCGGGGAGUUCUUCUGAUUAUUUAUGUAUGGCAAAUACUCAUUAUGAAAAUUUAAGGGCAUCUAGGCACUAUGCAGCGGAUCAUGAAUAAAAAAGUAGUCCCUAAUCUAUAGCUAAUAAUAAAGAGACAAAAUUUCAGCCUAUUUUUUCGUCCAUCCAUUUUUAGGUUCGUCUCUCUCUAACUACCGGACAAUAGAGACUUUCUUUGUCAAGACUUCAUCUAGACCAAUAUGGAGUAGGAAUCCUAAUCUAAAUAGGUUCCUCAGAUCAUGAGUACUCUAAAUAGAACCCUUAUAUAAUAAUCAAAUAGAAAAGGUAAGAGUCGUUCUGCUAUUUAUUUGCUCGUCUUUCUUUAUUUAGUUCUCUAUCAAGAGGGAGACAAAAAAAUCAUGUCCAUGUGUUCCUUAUUUUAUAUUCUCCGUCCGUUUACAAAGCAAGCAAACUCCCAACUUCUAUCUCCUUUUUGAUUCAAGCUUGUAGAGUCCAAAUAUUUCACGGAAACGUGGUGGCAAUCUUUCUAAAUAUUUUUGUACAAAUAUUAUGUAGUAGUAACAAGACCGGACUCGAACUCCGGGUGCAGAACGACAGAGAUAUAUGGUAUAUAGCCUGAGGCACCAUACAUAUAUGUAUAAUAAUGAAUAAAUACAGAUAUAUCACGCCAUACCAUUAUUGUUAUUUUUUAGUUUGAUUUGAUUGAUUGAAGCUCAUCAGUAGAUUUGGAUGCAAUGAACCGCGUUGUGGUGUACUGGUAUGACCUCGUGACAUUGAAAAGGCGGCGGGCACAAGGACGACCAUGACCAAUGCGGCAUCGUGGCGCACAUGCCAGACAACAAGCGUGGCAUGAGUCGGACGUAGGUGGCUAGACCAAGGUCAUCACGGGAGUCUCUGGGGCACUCGAUCUGGUUCACUUUGACGACAGACGACGCUGGCAAUAGGCUGUCAUGUCAAGGCCAUCGGAGUAGCUCCAAUAUGACAUGGGGCUCGUUUUGGGCAACUUUAGGUACACUAUACCCUAUGACUCCGCAGGCUCACCGAGCUGUCUCUUCAUGUGGACGUGGUGUUUGACAACGGUGCACAAACACUCAUCAGGCAACGCACAAAUUGGUAGGAGCCCAAGCAAAUAAGGAUGACAAUUAAAAGCACAACAUGCGGAACCGCAAGAAGACGAACCAUGUCUUGUAGUCGAGACAGCGUUGCCGGCCACUUCCUGUCAGUCUCCUAGGCGUCCUAAUUGGUAGACUGUGUGUGUAUGGGCCGGCACCACUAUUGGGCUGUCGACCCAUUAGGGUUAGGAUUGUGAGUCUAUAUAUUGUACCCCAUCUCCUAUCAAUAUAUCAAGCACUUUCAUAAUUCUACAUGGUAUCAGAGGAUUAGGGUUCCCACAACCCAACUCCCACAGUCGCCACCUGCCAACCCCCACAGCCGCCUGCCUAGGUCUAGCCGCUGCCCCGGGAGGCUCAUCCUUCCCUCCUGGGGCGGCUCCCUUCCCAGCCGCCGGCCACCCCUUUGCCCUGACCGUCCCAAUUCGCUGCUCCCUCCCCUCGCCGGCCGGCCGCCGGCCUCCCCGGCCUAGGGGACGCCACGCCCGACGGACGGGCCCGCCUCCACUGGAUUCGCCCAGUCACUUGUCUCCGUGGUUGGAUCCGCCCGAGACGUCGACCCCUUCCUCUCCGGCGCGCCCGCUUGGCUCGCCCCUCUCACUCUGCGCCACCGGCGGCCGAUCGCGGUCCUCCCUCCUAGCGCCGCUGGCCGCCCUUUGGCCGGAUCGAUCUGCCGUCCCUUUGGGCUGCCGACCCAUUAGGGAUAGGGAUGUGAGUCUAUAUAUUGUACCCCAUCUCCUAUCAAUAUAUCAAGCACUUCCAUAAUUCUACACUGAUGGAUUAAAAGCUAUUGGAACUGGAAGCCAAAUCGUAUCUAAGGCACCGUCUCUAGAGCAGACUGCAUACAUCACCAGCGUGCUUGUGCAUUGGGUCACCUCUAUGCAUAUGGGGACCAACAAGGCAGACACUUAUCUAAGCCACGUGUGCACCACAUAGUUCCAGCCCAGGCUGCGUGAAGACAUGCGUGCGUGUUGCCAUGACUACUCCCGCAUGAACGUUGUGCCGUGGUGCAAUGUCGGCAUAGUUUCGUACUGUGGCCAUCACGCUAUCGGCCAGGGCUGCCUCGCCAUGGUCAGUAACACCAUGCGCACGUGGUGUCGUGGUCGCAAGUUCUAGCCACCUCGCUGUGGUCGUAUCUCGGAUGUGGCUAGACCGUUAAGUUUAAUUCCGCAAUUAUUUUGGUCAGCCAACGUGAUUAAGUUUUAGAAAAGACUAUUCACCCCAUCUUGUCCACCAUAUAGACCCUACGUCAGCAACCAGUGACACCCAUAAGUAAUGGUUAUAACUAGUGCUUCAUAUAUAUUGUAUGCAUCUCGUUCGUUUUUUAUUAAUCAUAUCCUAGAAAUGAUGUUCGCUCCUAGGAGGAUCGGAUCAAAAGUUGUUGCGGCAUUAAUCCAUGAUCGGAAUGCUCGACACCAAUAUUGGGAACCAUCCACAAGUGUGUCAAGUAUUGCUCACCAAUUUCUCAAAUAUAAUUGCGCCUAAAAAUAAAGGACUAAUAAAUACUUCACCGGACAUACAUCACUUGUCAACACUAGGCAUCUCAUUGUUUAUUAUUCGAUAUAUUGAGUAGGACACUACUCAAUAUAGAUUCAACACAGACACUUAAAUGUAUGAAAUCAACCAUGAAAGCAAGAUCAGACAUCACACUCGCAUUAUUCAAUUGAUGCUUGCCUUUCAUAUAUCAAGGCAUAAAAGGUAUAAAUAUAGCCUUUGCUAGUAGGCAAUCUAGCUUACUAGCAAAAGCUACCUUUAUACCAUUUUAUGCCUUGAUAUAUGGAGUUUCUUCAACGGUUUCCUCAUUAGUGUUUGGGUCCAGGCCAAAGUAGAUGACAACACGUAUAGCUCCGGCUGCGAGUUCGUCUGAAGGCCUCGGGCUCUCAUUCAAAUCCACAUCUACUGAAUCAAAGAAUGUUACAUCUGGCCGCUCUUGUUCUAUUACUGCAAUUGCAUCAUUAAUUUCCUUGCCAAUCAACUCGGGCCAACUGGUCUUGUUCUGCGUAGCCAUGAUCACGUACUGUCCUUAGCUUCUCUCUCUUUUGAAACUGUUAUAAUACCAAUAAGAAUCAAUAAUUGAGCAACAUUAGUGUAACGAAUAGAAACAUAAUAUGUUGUUUUGUGCUAAUGCUAUCAUACUUUCAUAGUAAGCAUAUGUCUUAAUCGAAUGCACUACAUAACUAUCGGGCUGCUAACAGUCUAUUAAAAUUUUAAAAAGAUACUCCUUUUUUCAAAGCAAUUACUAACAAAGAAUACAUGAUUACCUGAAGGGAAGAACACAGUAGCCUCUGGCGAUGAUACGUGCUCUAUGUAUAGGUGUGUAUAUAUACACGACGACAUUUGUAUUGUUGGUUGGAUGUUGUCGGUGAAAACAAUGCAAAUAUUUUUUCCACCAUUAAUUAGGAAAACACGAUCAUAUUGCCCUUUUGCUGCCAAUAACUGUAGUUCUCGACCAUAACAAUGCAGGCUUUGACUUAGUAAACAUCAUCAUAUCUCCUUGUUCACAGGGGGGCAGCUGAAUGCCCAUACUGUACACAGCCCGUGACUCAAACAAUAUACGUGUAAUCCAAAUGAAACAUAAAAAAGCCCUAGAAAUAGUGCUACCCACUAUGAUUAAUGUCAUUGUUGUCUAGCUAAAAUUUUUGACCCCACAUGCAUCGUUUCCUAACCUGACUCAAAUCUAACACAUGCCAGACUUUCGUGGUUUCUCAUGUUUUGUUAUUUUUGUUUUUUCAUAUAUUUAAAUGCCUCACAUGGCCAUGCACUGGAACCAGAUUCUUAGCUAUGGGCUGGCAUGAUGCAUCUGUCAACAAAAUCUCCAGUUUUCCACGCUGUUGAAUCGACAGGUACAGUAGACAAAUACAGAAAAGGGCUGGCCUGGUUAAAAAACGGCUCAGGUUAGCAAGCAGCCUGGCCUGCUUCACGUUUGAGAGAAGGUGGCUUCGAACGAGACCUGAUCGUUUCCUUCGUCCUGGGGCCUGGGCGACUUGGCUGGCUCUUGCUCAAUGGGAGUUGACAGGACAGAUCACGGCCAGCCAGUUAGGUCGCUGUGACGAGCUGUACAAGAGGAGUGUUCCGCGAUGAUGCGUCUCAAGCAGAUUUAUAUCGGAGGAGAAGGAGAUGAACCGCGUUGGCUCUUCUCUCGGUUCUGAAAGCACAAGUUUACUAUGUCUGGGAUGGCAUUUGAUGAUUCACCUGCCCAAGUGAAUGUUGAAGGAGAUGUUUCAGAGAAAAAAGUAGAAGUUCAAGACCAGAAUGAAGUGGGUGGGAUGCCCUCACGACAAGAGGAGGAGGCAGCGAUUAAGAAAUAGUAUGAAGGAAUAUUGCCCAGAAAGACUCGCGCUUAUAUCUAAGAUUCUUAGCUAUGGGCUGGCAUGGUGCAUCUGUCAACAAGAUCUCCAGUUUUCCACGCUGUUGAAUCGACAGGUACAGCAGACAAAUACAGAAAAGGGCUGGCCUGGUUAAAAAACGGCUCAGGUUAGCAAGCAGCCUGGCCUGCUUCACGUUUGAGAGAAGGUGGCUUCGAACGAGACCUGAUCGUUUCCUUCGUCCUGGGGCCUGGGCGACUUGCUCAAUGGGAGUUGACAGGACAGAUCACGGCCAGCCAGUCAGGUCGCUGUGACGAGCUGUACAAGAGGCGAUGAUGCGGCUCAGGCAGAUUUAUAUCGGAGGAGAUGAAUCGCGUUGGCUCUUCACUCGGUCCUGUUUCUUAACUGAUGUAAAUUUUAGCUUGUUUUUAACUAGAGGAACGAUGUAAGUUUAACCAGACGAAUAAAACAACUGUGUAUGCUCUGCUUCCAAUCCAGUUAUUAGCUGCAGCUGCUCCCUGUGUCGUGUGUGGAAUGCUUGCUUCUGUACUAUAACCUUUUUUUCUA